rnacentral:piRNA from 1 species
UCCGCCGGCAUGCUCCCUUGACGUCCUCUC